rnacentral:rRNA from 1 species
AACGAACGCUGGCGGCAGGCUUAACACAUGCAAGUCGAACGGGUGUCGCAAGACAUCAGUGGCAGACGGGUGAGUAACACGUGGGAACCUUCCUAGGGGUACGGAACAACUCAGGGAAACUUGAGCUAAUACCGUAUACGUCCGUAAGGAGAAAGAUUCAUCGCCCCUAGACGGGCCCGCGUCGGAUUAGGUAGUUGGUGGGGUAACGGCCUACCAAGCCUACGAUCCGUAGCUGAUCUGAGAGGANGAUCAGCCACACUGGGACUGAGACACGGCCCAGACUCCUACGGGAGGCAGCAGUGGGGAAUCUUGGGACAAUGGGCGCAAGCCUGAUCCAGCCAUGCCGCGUGAGUGAAGAAGGCCUUAGGGUUGUAAAGCUCUUUUACCAGGACGAUAAUGACGGUACCUGGAGAAUAAG